ACCAAACUCAAGCAAAACCAAGUUGUGUGCACCUCUCUCUCACCCAAAAAACCUAAAGUUGCACGACCUCUCUCUUAGGCGAACUCCUCAAGCUGAAGCCCUCCCUCUCACGCAAACUCCUCUGCCGAAGCCCUCUCACACGAAUUCCUCCACCGAAGCCCUCUCACGCUAACUCCUCCGCCAAAGCCCACUCCGCUGAAGCCCUCACCGUCGAUGCCCUAACCCCUAAGUCCUCACCGCUGAAGCCCUCUCCGCCAAAGCCCUACAUUGACUUGAACAUCUUCAUCGAGAUCUUUCUCAGAGACGACUUUUUUAAUCCGAAGCUUAGGUCAUUUAUGAAUGGAUAAGGAGUGGAUACGUCUGCCUUCAAGUGGGAGAAGAUUCCAAUACCUACUAGGGGCAUAUGAUACCAAUAGCUGGAGUUCUAAGUGCACACAUGUCGUUGAAAAAUCUUCUCCGGUGACACCUAAGCGUAUUCAAGCUGUUUUGGCAAGGAAUCCUAUUGUUCUCAGUGACUGGCUUAAGUUGGGAGGCAUCAAGCCGAUCAAACUUUAAUUGUAAAAGCACAGAAGAUUAGUGAGUGCCCCUCCCUGUCAAAAUACUACUUUUCUGUUAUAUUAUGACAUCCUAUGAUGUAUGUUCUCUUAUAUGCAAGACAAUUUCAUGUGCUAUUUAAUUAUCCAAGGUUAGUAAUUAUUUAUGAUUUA